UACGUAGGGUCCGAGCGUUGUCCGGAAUUAUUGGGCGUAAAGAGCUCGUAGGCGGUUUGUCGCGUCUGCUGUGAAAUCCCGAGGCUCAACCUCGGGCCUGCAGUGGGUACGGGCAGACUGGAGUGCGGUAGGGGAGAGUGGAAUUCCUGGUGUAGCGGUGAAAUGCGCAGAUAUCAGGAAGAACACCCGUGGCGAAGGCGGCUCUCUGGUACGUGACUGACGCUGAGACGCGAAAGCGUGGGGAGCAAACAGG
rnacentral:rRNA from 1 species